UACGUAGGGUGCAAGCGUUAUCCGGAAUUAUUGGGCGUAAAGAGCUCGUAGGCGGUCUGUCGCGUCGGCUGUGAAAACCCGGAGCUCAACUCCGGGCCUGCAGUCGAUACGGGCAGACUGGAGUUCGGUAGGGGAGACUGGAAUUCCUGGUGUAGCGGUGAAAUGCGCAGAUAUCAGGAAGAACACCCGUGGCUAAGGCGGCUCCUCGUAGUACGGUACUGA
rnacentral:rRNA from 1 species